rnacentral:rRNA from 1 species
GAUGAACGCUGGCGGCGUGCCUAAUACAUGCAAGUCGAGCGAACAGACGAGGAGCUUGCUCCUCUGACGUUAGCGGCGGACGGGUGAGUAACACGUGGAUAACCUACCUAUAAGACUGGGAUAACUUCGGGAAACCGGAGCUAAUACCGGAUAAUAUAUUGAACCGCAUGGUUCAAUAGUGAAAGACGGUUUUGCUGUCACUUAUAGAUGGAUCCGCGCCGCAUUAGCUAGUUGGUAAGGUAACGGCUUACCAAGGCAACGAUGCGUAGCCGACCUGAGAAGGUGAUCGGCCACACUGGGACUGAGACACGGUCCAGACUCCUACGGGAGGCAGCAGUGGGGAAUCUUCCGCAAUGGGCGAAAGCCUGACGGAGCAACGCCGCGUGAGUGAUGAAGGUCUUCGGAUCGUAAAACUCUGUUAUUAGGGAAGAACAAAUGUGUAAGUAACUAUGCACGUCUUGACGGUACCUAAUCAGAAAGCCACGGCUAACUACGUG